rfam:Habropoda laboriosa contig20015, whole genome shotgun sequence.
CAAACGGCCCUUUUUAGGGCCAACACAAAAUAAAAUGAAGGAAUAU